CCCUUAGAUGUUCUGGGCCGCACGCGCGCUACACUGAUGCAUUCAACGAGCCUAUCCUUGACCGACAGGUCCGGGUAAUCUUUGAAUCUGAAUCGUGACGGGGAUAGAUUAUUGCAAUUAUUAAUCUUCAACGAGGAAUGCCUAGUAGGCGCAAGUCAUCAGCUUGCGUCGAUUACGUCCCUGCCCUUUGUACACACCGCCCGUCGCUCCUACCGAUUGGGUGUGCUGGUGAAAUGUUCGGAUCGGCCGUUUGUCGCGGUUUCCGCGUCAUGUGGCUGAGAAGUUCAUUAAACCCUCCCACCUAGAGGAAGGAGAAGUCGUAACA
rnacentral:rRNA from 1 species